rnacentral:rRNA from 1 species
UGGGGAAUAUUGGACAAUGGGGGCAACCCUGAUCCAGCCAUGCCGCGUGUGUGAAGAAGGCCUUUUGGUUGUAAAGCACUUUAAGCAGGGAGGAGAGGCUAAUGGUUAAUACCCAUUAGAUUAGACGUUACCUGCAGAAUAAGCACCGGCUAACUCUGUGCCAGCAGCCGCGGUAAUACAGAGGGUGCGAGCGUUAAUCGGAAUUACUGGGCGUAAAGCGAGUGUAGGUGGCUCAUUAAGUCACAUGUGAAAUCCCCGGGCUUAACCUGGGAACUGCAUGUGAUACUGGUGGUGCUAGAAUAUGUGAGAGGGAAGUAGAAUUCCCAGGUGUAGCGGUGAAAUGCGUAGAGAUCUGGAGGAAUACCGAUGGCGAAGGCAGCUUCCUGGCAUAAUAUUGACACUGAGAUUCGAAAGCGUGGGUAGCAAACAGGAUUAGAUACCCUGGUAGUCCACGCCGUAAAACGAUGUCUACUAGCCGUUGGGGUCCUUGAGACUUUAGUGGCGCAGUU